rnacentral:rRNA from 1 species
UACGUAGGGUGCAAGCGUUAUCCGGAAUUAUUGGGCGUAAAGAGCGCGUAGGCGGUUUGUCGCGUCUGCUGUGAAAGUCCGGGGCUCAACUCCGGAUCUGCGGUGGGUACGGGCAGACUAGAGUGAUGUAGGGGAGACUGGAAUUCCUGGUGUAGCGGUGAAAUGCGCAGAUAUCAGGAGGAACACCGAUGGCGAAGGCAGGUCUCUGGGCAUUAACUGACGCUGAGGAGCGAAAGCAUGGGGAGCGAACAGG